ensembl:lncRNA novel transcript
AACCCUGUGGCUUCCGUGCUGGAAAGAGAGGGAGAGCUCUUGCGAGGCAGAACAGGCUGCUGAAGGACAGACCUGGCUGGCGCGGUUAAUAAGAGGCCUGCAUCCCGUAGCCUGAACAAAUAUUGAAGUAGCUAAAGUUUCUAAAGUGUGUUAAUUUGCAUACUUCCUCAGCAGUCCAGCGUGGAGGAUAAAAGGGGUAUCUUGUGAGUCGAUUUGAAUUGUAAUCCCGUUUUUUUCACUUGCUAGCUGUGUGGCUCUGGGAAAAUUACAGUUUUUAUGAGCUUUGGCUUCCUGAUCAAUAAAAUAGAAAUAAUUAAGUGAUACGUGCAAAGCGCUUAGCAUGGAACGCUCUCAAUAAAUGUUUGCCAUUUUUAGUGUCUGCUCGUGCCUGGAAACUGCUGUUAUUCCAUUUUAUACUUCAGGAAAUAAGAUUGUGGUUAGGAUAUAUGCCCCAUUUUCCAGAUGAAGAAACUGACACCACAAACUUGCUCGUGUCAAGCAACAGAAUUUUAUUCUUUAACUGUUCUAGAGGCAAGAAUUCCAAAAUCAAGCUGUUGGCAGAGCCCUGCACCUUUUGAAGGCUCUAGGGGAGAAUGCUUUGCUUCUUCAGCUUCUAACGGUUCCAGGCGGUCCGUGGCCUCUUGUUGCAUGACUCCAAUCUCGGCCUGUCUUCUAAUGGCCUUCUCCUGUGCCUGUGCCACUUCUCUGUGUGUUUUUAGGACACUGAACAUUGAAUUUAGAGUCCACGGGGAUAAUCCAAGAUCAUCUCAUCUGGAGGUCCUUAAUCACAUCUGCAAAGGCCCUUUUCCCAAAUAAGGUCACUUUCACAUGUCCUGGGAGUUAGGACAUAGACAUAUCUUUUGGAGACUAUUCAACCCACUGCAUCUGUAAAGUUGAGGAACUGGCACUUGAUCCCUGGUGCCAGACUUCAGAUUUUACUGUCUUCCAACUUACUCCGUUUUCUGGCCACUAAGGAGUUAGAGUUGAAACUGGUAAUUUAGUAGACUGUAUGCUUCUUGAUGACAGGGGCCAUCAUUACUUUCCAGGCACUUAUCUCACUAUGCAGCACAUAGAUACUUGAUAAGUUCUUGUCGUCUACCUUAACUGUUACUAGUUUACAUUUCAGCUCAUUUAAAUCUCAUAAGAACGUUUUAAAUAGGUCUUUUCUCAUUUUACAGAGAAAGGCAAAACAUAGUAGCUUUGGUCCAGUGAGCCUGACUCUAAACUCAACGUGGCUGCCUCCGUACUGCUUUCAAUAAUUCAGUAAAUGCUAAGAGAAGAGAAUAUGGAACAGGAAUUGCAGGAGGCCCAUCAGCUGUGCCUUUUGGGCAAAUAGCAUAGUAGUGGGGAUAUUAGACACCUUGAAACACCUGACAAGUAAAUGCUGGCCAAAAAGAAAGAAAAAUCGCAAAAUACACCCUAUCACACAACCCUGGGAAGGGAUACGUUUGUGUUUUCAACUCGACAGACAGCAGCACCCCAUAUCCUUGAAGAUAGGUCCAUGCAGUUGCCUUAAGCAUCUGCACCAAAACCCUGCUAUUCAUUUGCCUUUUCACCAGGGAGGAAAAAAAAAAUGUUAUCACAUAUCAAAGCCCUUGAUUAUUAUUAAAAACUUUUUUAUCAAG